GCCCGACGCCUCAGGGCUGGGGGCGGGGACGCGGGCCGGAAGGGGGCGGGUUUCCUCCGUCCCCGCCCACCAGCUGGGGCCGGGGCGCCCAGGGGGCCAUUUGCUCGUUUCCGCCGACGCCCCCUCUUCUCGCGAGAUAGUGGGCUUGCUCUCGUCUCCCCCCCCUUCCCUCUGCGGUCCUGUCUCGCGAGGGUUCUCCGGAGGCCGGGGUGCGGUGUCGGGGUCGCGCUGCGUACCUGGGUGGGUGUGCCCGCUGCUGUUACCUGGUUGGUUCCUUGGAAGCCGGGUCUAGGGCGAGCCUGCUUUCAGCUGCCCUCUGGCAGAGUUUUGCCUGUCAGGAAUUGUGGGAUUGCGACGUUGCCACCAAGUAGGGAAGGCUCUAGGUGAGGUGCGACCAGAGAGGGGUGUCUCGAAAGGUUUUUCUGCUUGUUCUUGUUUGUUGCCAACGACGUGGAAAAACAAAACAGUUAACAUCAGCCCACAAAACAGCGGUGCCCAGACAACACGGAAAGAAAGCAAGAGAAGCUAAGCUCUGGGAUUGAGAUGUGUUAGCAGCCCGGUUUCCAAGGUUACUGCUGUCACAGACAGAAAGAAUUCCAGAAUGCGGUGCUCCUAUUUUAAAACGCUCUGCUGCUUUUUCCUCGACUGUGCUGAAGACAAAGUCCAGAAGCUGCCCUCAGUGAAUGGCAGCUAAUGCGCCGUUACCGACGGCUGACACAUUCCGAAUUAGCCAUAGCAGCGCUUACAAGUUGUUCUGCAUGCCUAGUGUUGAUCUAUCGUUAAUUUCAGUGCUCCAGAGAAGGCCCUGCCUGUUCCCACUGCAUGCUUUUUUUUUUUUUUUUAAAAAAAAUACGUGUUUAAACAAACAAUUAAAAAUUCCUGGUUUUCACCUGUGUAAGCAGAAGAUGGAUUUGCUAUUAUUUUUCAGACUCCGGGUCAAGAACUUCCAAGAGUAUAAGCCCUCAAGAACACACACUUCAGUGUGUUUAUUCAAACCGGCUGAUAGUUUUGAGACAGGAAGACUUCUCAUCUUUGAAUAAUUGUUUUCAUGCUUCCUGUGUAUUUCAAAAAUAAAGUUUAUCUGCUUCCAAAAAUA